GCUUCAACAUACAACUUUGAUGUGUUGGAAGAACUUGUCUCCGAGCCUCCAAAGUGUGCAGUAUGUGGUCAGCCUGCCAGUAAACGAUGCUCGCGCUGCCAGAAUGAGUGGUAUUGCAGAAGGGAAUGCCAAGUUGGUCACUGGAAAAAGCACAAGCAGGCAUGUGAUUUGCUGUUCAAUGCCAUGGAGAAGAUAAAACAACAAGAGGUUAAAUCGUGAUAGAAUAUCUAAAGAGCUGUAAUUAUGCAUUGGUGUGAGUCUGUCAUGAUUGUGAAUGUAUCAGAGUUUAAAUAUAUGAGAAUGUAUAAUUGUUGAAAUGUGAGUUGAGAGUCUAAAAAAUGCUUUAUUCAUUGAGACCCAGACUGGGAGCAAGGCAUCAAAAGUUUUCUAUGAAACCUGAUUAAAAAUUGUCUCCCUUUUUGUCUCUGCAAACUGACAUGUUGUCAAAGAUGAAGAUGGAUAAUUUCGUAAUUUGAACAGAAAAACAGUUGUUGGACAGAGGCAACUUUUUUUCUUUUUUUUUAUUAGAUGUAAAUCACAUGUGACAAGUCCUUUUUCUUUGUUCUACACCCCGCGUUUGAUCUUACAGGUAGUCAGCUGUUGGUUUUUCAACCUGCAGUGUAGCUGAUUUUUACAUAGCCAUGUUUUUUAAAAAAUAGAACACUUCAACAGCUUAGUGCAAGACUCUGCCAUAUGCUAUUUUGAAAAGUAAUGUAUGACCUAGUCUUACAUUGAGCAGUCGAUAUCUUCUUUGACCUUUCAGACUGCUCUGUUAUGUUUAUUUUAACUUUUUAACAGUUAUUCAAUUUAUUAAUACAGAACAGAGGGAUUUUUUUUUUCUUUUUACCUAGUGGUUUGAUUACCGUGAAGGGAGAAUUUUCAUUGGGUAUCUCAAUCUUUCUUCUGGGGCAUUACAUUCUUACUAAAUGGUCAGAAUUGUGCCGAUGGUGAAUGUAAAAGCACUUACAUUUACCCAAAAUAUUUAUUUUGAAAUUUUCAGCUGCUCAGUCAGUGUGAAAGUACUCAUAGGCCACAAUACACUACUUAACUGCGCAGAUGCAUUCAUUUACAUAGAACAAGUACAUAUUUGUUUCAUAGAAUGUACGCUGCUGUCACUCUAUGAAGCACCAAUAGUUUUGUGGACUGAUCAUUUUGUGUACUUGCUUCUCUUAAAGUGGGAAUUUGUUAUAAUUGUAUAUUGUGUGCCCUCUGAUCAGAAUUAUCAUUGUAAUGUGAUCAUUCCGUCCUUGUUCACUGCCGUGCGACUUGCUCAUCUGACAUAUCAUUCCUUCAAAUUUUUUUGGAAAUCACCUAUUUUUUAUUAAACAUUUUCGAAAAUCAA